GGAAAUAACGUACGUUUGCUGUUCGGUGCUGCGGGGUCCCGCUUCCCCACUUUGCUCCUUGGCUUUCCUGGGGGAAAGCUGUAUCCCCUCGCUUGGAAAUGCAGCUCUACCUCCCCAGGCAUUCAGCCACAAAAGCAGACAUCUGCUUCCCCCCAGUGCACGGCUAUCACCUGCCCGGCCAGCACAGACCUACCACGCUUCAAAAACUACACUGCUCUGGUGGUAGAUAUCAUCGGCUGGAACUGAAACUCGAAUGUUAAAUGCCAGAAUAUGAGAAGUUGCCACCUGAGAGCAUGGCUAACACAGAGCAGUGCAGGAAGCCCGUGUCUGAGCAGAGGGCCGCAGUGUGCCCGGCUUCACCAGAAGGUGAUGUGAGAAUAGAUGAGAAAUACAAACAUUGACUCACUGCAUCGUACAAGGCACGGCUCCGAGGGGUCAGAGCAUCCCCUCUCAUCUCCAAGCCAUAACUUAAGAAACAAAACAUAUACAUCAAGGCCAUGGAAACAAACCUAAAAUUGCUUUAAGGACUGGGAGUUUCAGCUUGUUACGUGUGGGCUGAUCCGUGGUUCCUACUUUCAGAUCCAAGAACCUGCUAUAGGCCCAAAGGAAAGGGCCUUUGGUCUGGCCCAGUCCUGCAGUCAGACACUGAAAUUACCUGCUCAGAUGGCUGCCUUAAGGGGGUAAAGCUGCAUCAUCUGGGGAAUGUGAAGCUCCACCCAGCUAAGGAAUACUCUACAACCAGGACAGCUUUUUGCUGGCAUUAAGGGGAAACGUAUUAUACCUGCAUGGCUGGGGGGUCGUUAGGGGGUGCUUUGGCACGUGAUAAUCCAGAAAAAAAAAAAGAAAAAAGCACUUUGCAGAGUUGUUUUCAACAAAGCAAGGCCAUGUAGCCUCAAGACUAGCAGGAGCAGAGAUAGUUGUGCAAACAGAAGGGUACCUGCUGCUUGUUUUAAAGCAGUCCUGGAUACGGGGUUUAUUCCUGCGAGUCUUUCACUGCGCCGCGCUCCCACUGAACUAAGUGUUGUUUCAUUACAAAGAAACAGCAAGAUCUGUUUUAAUUAUAAAACACCGAUUGUAAAAAGCUAGAUUUAAGAAAUGUUGGCACGGAGCUAUCACUGAAUAUGACUAUAAAGCAAAAAAAAAAAAAUUAAUUUGUACUUCAAAAAAAAUAACUACAACCUUGCUAAAAUUUCUGCAGUUUGAAUGCAAGGAGCCCAGGCUGCUCCAAUUAAAUCCAUAAACAAAGCGGGGUUGGGAGAAGAAAGCCAUGAUCCACCUUACAGUGCUGCUGUGUGCAGUUAAAGGGCAUCUUGCUGCUGUGACAGCAUGUGGUCCCCAAGUCCAACCCCAACCCACCCCACCGUGCCCACAUCCCUCAGUGCCACAUCCCCACAGCUCUGAACACCUCCAUGGACGGUGACCCCCCCACCCCUGGGCAGCACCACUCCUUCUGAGAAGAAAUUUUUCCUAAUGCCCAACCUGAACCUCCCCUGGAGCAACUUCAGGCAUUCCCUCUCAUCUCAUCUGUGAAAAAAAUCACAAGCUGUAAAUAAAACCAAGGAUACUCACAUUCAUCAGCCCCACUCGUACCCAGGAUGAUUUUCAAAGACUUUCCCAGCUAUCCGUUGUCAUUGCUGCUUUUCUCUAUGCAAAAUCCUCCUGCUGGCCACAAAGGGAAAAGGUGCGACUGGACAAAUCCCUUCCCUUUGCAAAGACCCGCUGCACUUCUGGCCCAAUGAUGAACACUUUAGAAACUUCUGGAGUCCCAAACCCAAAGAAUUGGCAGCCAUCAUUAUGUGCCCUUCAGCUGUCCCAAGGAACAAUUGUCUGUCAGUACUAUCUGCCAACAGGAAUCUGCCCCAUGAGGAGCUGAAGGCUGCUGUGGGAUGCACGUAGCACACACUCAGCUGCCAGCAGCACCAUCAGAACUUGGGGAAUCUCCGCUGCAAUACAACCAGAUGCAAAAGGUUGCUGUGCACGGGGCUGCACUGUGCGUGCACUGCGAGAGCCACCAACAGCAUUACGUUGCACUGAUCACUUGAGGCCCAAUUUAGUGAAAUGACUAUGUUCCAGUCAUGCCACGGCAGCUUUCAUCCUACUGUGACUCUGAAUGGUGCUGACCAUCUGGAAGUAGCACACAGUGUUUUAACCUUAAGAAUGCAAACCUCCCAAUAAAGAGCAUUUGUUAUGGGUGAAAGAUAUGACAUCUUUAAGGAAGCAGAGAAGAGAAUUAUGUUUGAGGCUCUGCUUCUGAAAUGCAUCCCCUGAAGGAAUACACACUUUCAUCUGGGGCCGAAGAUCUUGCAGAGAAAUAUUUUUUUAAAGGAAGAAGACUGAGAGCCUAUCAAGCUUCCCUCUCAGUGUUAUCGUAGCACCUGGGUGCUUCCCCUUUUCCCAGCACAAAAGGAGAACAAAGCAUAAGGAGAUGCAGGGUUUCACUCAAGUUGCACCACAGUUUGCAGUGGAGCAGACACAGCGUGCCCAGAGAUGCCCCAGGCCUUGCUUCCCUGCACAGCCAUCGGCCUGGGGAGCUGCAGCACAGCAGUGCCAACAGCCUGAGCGUCCUGCUCGCACACUGCCUUGAAAAUCCCAUUAAGUGAAAAAAAUCAGCAAAGGUGAAUCAGAGGGACGUCAUUUUCUCGGUGCUACUGAGUGCAUGCUAAGGCUGCUCUGCCUCGUCAGCAGCUUUGGCUCAAGGAAGUUACUUGCUGUUUAUAAGUCCUGUACGUUUCCAGUAAGCCAGUUCUGCAGUGCUUAAAGCUUCUGGUUUGCUGGUUCCUUCCUCCCUGUAUGUCAUGUAGCCAUUCCUCCUCCCUUGCUAGCAGUGCUGCACUGAAAGCCCAGUGUAACAUCAGAUGGAGUCACUGCAGUGCUUUGUUUUUCUUCUCUCCUAAACUGCUUUCUUUUCUUUUAGCAUUUUAAAAAACACAAUGCACUCAUGAACGCUUGUAAAAUUCCUCAUAAAGUUUAC
ensembl:lncRNA